UAUUUUUAAUUGACAUAGACCAAGUCAUCUAGUAAAAUGAGGAUGAGC
rnacentral:tRNA from 1 species